rnacentral:rRNA from 1 species
AGUGAAAUGUGAUAAGUAAUGUGAAUUGCAGAAUUCAGUGAAUCAUUGAAUCUUUGAACGCACCUUGCACCUUUUGGUAUUCCAAAAGGUACACCUGUUUGAGUGUCAU